rnacentral:rRNA from 1 species
UACGGAGGGUGCAAGCGUUGUUCGGAAUUACUGGGCGUAAAGGGCGUGUAGGUGGUAGGGUAUGUCAGAUGUGAAAGCCCUGGGCUCAACCCAGGAAGUGCAUUUGAAACUACCCUUCUUGAGUAUGGGAGAGGAGAGUGGAAUUCCCAGUGUAGAGGUGAAAUUCGUAGAUAUUGGGAGGAACACCCGUGGCGAAGGCGGCUCUCUGGACCAAUACUGACACUGAGACGAGAAAGCGUGGGGAGCAAACAGG